AUUGAACGCUGGCGGCAGGCUUAACACACGCAAGUCGAGCGGGGUGAUGGUGCUUGCACUAUCACUUAGCGGCGGACGGGUGAGUAAUGCUUAGGAAUCUGCCUAUUAGUGGGGGACAACAUCUCGAAAGGGAUGCUAAUACCGCAUACGUCCUACGGGAGAAAGCAGGGGAUCACUUGUGACCUUGCGCUAAUAGAUGAGCCUAAGUCGGAUUAGCUAGUUGGUGGGGUAAAGGCCUACCAAGGCGAGGAUCUGUAGCGGGUGUGGGAGGGUGAUCCGACACACUGGGACUGAGAAACGGCCCAGACUCCUACGGGAGGCAGCAGUGGGGAAUAUUGGACAAUGGGGGGAACCCUGAUCCAGCCAUGCCGCGUGUGUGAAGAAGGCCUUAUGGUUGUAAAGCACUUUAAGCGAGGAGGAGGCUCUUUUGGUUAAUACCCAAGAUGAGUGGACGUUACUCGCAGAAUAAGCACCGGCUAACUCUGUGCCAGCCGCCGCAGUAA
rnacentral:rRNA from 1 species